AGCUAUGCGUGGAACCAUUGAUCAGAGAGCAAUAAAUAAGAAAAGAGUUCUUAACCCAUGGGAGAGGAUGAUGUGUCUCAACUCUGCAAAGGCCAUUGGAUGUACUGUUGUCAACAUUGGCAUGCAGGAUUUAGUGGAAAGAAGGGACUGAAUACAAUGUUACCGAGGGCACUUCAAUGGAGAUUGAGAGAACAUGUGCAGUGGAAGUCAGUUACAAGAUGGUAAAGAACAAGCAUAUACAGAGUUCAGACUUCAUGUGCACCUUUGCUAUUGCUAGAUGCUUCUCAUGGGACCGAUCAUGAUCCAUGAGCCAUGGCCUCUUCAGUAAUAACCAGUGGCCAAUAAAAGGUAACGGACAUAAGCUCUUCUAAUCUCAUUUGUAAAUAUGUUGAACUAUAAAGAUUGUUUGGUGUCUUAUUUUGAAGUCAGGUGUGAUACUGGGUUUAGUGCAUUUUUUGUUGCUUUUACCCUUUUCUUCAUUUCCGGUGAUUGUUAAUAUGCAGAUGUCAAAUAACGCACUUUGUAAUAGUCAAUAUAACAGACGAGCUCAACUUUUCGUCACAGAUGAAGAACCAACCAGGCACAAAGGGGGCUCAUUCUACUGACUGUGCCCCAUUUACGGACCUAAUGGACAAUGGUAAUAAUCAGCGUCGUCCCGAGCAAAAGCAACAUAGUGGUCAACGGUGGUAUGCCCGAAUGUUUGUCGACAAAAAGGGAUAGUGUCUAGAGAGGCGUCGUUUAGCCCACCAAGAAAAGACGCUUGCACACCAUACAUGCUGAACAUGAACCACGCACUGAAUAUCUGUGUACAUGAUGAGUCCGAGUCAUAUAGAAUGACAAAUGAUGUUUCUCCGGGUAGCCAUAACUGUUUAUCAGUCAAUAUUGUUUAAGGCCCAAAUUCUUGGUUGAACUUUUGGUCAAUUUCAAAUAUUAGUUCAUGAUAUUCAGGUCCAAUGAUAAGUAACAACUUAUUUCAGCAAGUUGGAAACACAUUUGGAUCAGGAUUAGUACAUCAUGCAUCUGCUAUCUUAUUUUUCCUUUAUAAUCGUAAUAGAUGUCUCUAGCUUGAGUAUGCUGUUAGUGCACUUCCACUUCCUUCAGAAUACAUUUCUUCAGAGAAACUGUUGCUGUGUGCAGAAUAUAUUUCUUCAGUGAAUGUGUUAUUGUGCAGAAACUACAAUGAAGUUGUCGGCGCAGAAGUCCAGUGAACUCAGCUACAUCGGAUUGGGUCAAAGUGGGUGGUCCUCCAAACGGUCUAUUGUGCAUCGGAGGUCACGUUCAUCUCUGGCAAAUUCCACCGCAGCCUCGGUCGUACGUGUGCUUCAAUCUAUUUUCGUAUUGUUUUCUUGGCGUUUGACAAAUGCUUCACAAACUAAGCUCAUGUUAAACAUGCACAACUAUGUAAGAUAGUUUCACCUAUUUCUUAUGUACUUGCACUUUGACAUCCAUUGCCAAUCUGUAUUGUUUCUAAACUGAAAUGAUGUCCUCAUGUUCACUGAUUACCUAUAAACUGAGAUGAUGCCCUCCUGUACUACUAUGGUCUUUCAUAUGCUGGUUGUGCACAAAUGGCAUUAGCUUGUCCUUUUCUACUUUAUUUGUUCAGUUCACUGGAAAUGGAAAUACCGCCUGAAACUUUUAUGCACGUGCCACCUUCGAUCUUCAGUUCCUUGAUAUAUCUUGUUAAGCUUACCUGCAAAGGUUAUCAUAAACCAUAACUAUCAAACAUGCAUUGCACUCUGACCUGAUGUAGUAAUUCGCAACAGUAGUGCCACGGUUCAGUUCAGCAAGGAGACCAACUACCUCUACAAUGUCCACUCCUACUGGUCUCUGACCUGUCAAACAAGAAGACAUGGUGCAGCUAGCUGCUGAAAAGGAGAUGACCGUGGUCCUCUUGAUAACGAAGAUGAGGACGCAGUAGACCAAGCUUUCUGCGUUCUCCACUCGCAUGCACAAGGAGUUCGGCAAGAUGGCCAAUGUUGUCAAGAACCAGGUCACUGGCAACUACUACAUGGCUGACUUGACCAAACCCGCUCUUGCAAGACUUACAAUUUACCACAACCUGCUAAAUGAUGAAUAUAAUGGAUGAUGCGCUCAGCAGACUGGUUGUGCCAGUAGGUUCAACAUUUGUACCCCAUGACUAUGUUUCCAGAACUGAUUGGGACAUUCCCCCUUUUCUUUAGAGAUGAAGGGACCAUUUCUACUCCCUCUGUGCCGUGUGCAUGAUUAUUCAUUAUACUCAUGUUCAUUUCUUGUUAUGUUUCUGAACCAUGUAUAUCAUUUAUGUGUGUGAACCGGUAGUGUCCUUUAAAAAUACAUAUUGUGGUGCAUCAAUUUCUUCAUGGUCAUGCCUUCUUCUAUUUUUUCAAAAAUUUCAUAAUGUCAAUGUAACAUUUAUAUUCAGAUGAUUUGUUCAACACAA